GAUGAACGCUAGCGGCAGGCCUAACACAUGCAAGUCGAGGGGCAGCACAGAAACAGCAAUGUUUUGGUGGCGACCGGCGGACGGGUGCGUAACGCGUAUACAACCUACCUUUAACAGGGGGAUAACGGAGAGAAAUUCCCACUAAUACCCCAUAACAUCGAUCAAGGCAUCUUGAUUGGUUGAAAACUACGGUGGUUAAAGAUGGGCAUGCGUUGUAUUAGGUAGUUGGUGAGGUAAUGGCUCACCAAGCCUACGAUACAUAGGGGGACUGAGAGGUUAGCCCCCCACACUGGGACUGAGACACGGACCAGACUCCUACGGGAGGCAGCAGUGAGGAAUAUUGGUCAAUGGGGGCAACCCUGAACCAGCCAUGCCGCGUGCAGGAAGACGGCUCUAUGAGUUGUAAACUGCUUUUAAACAGGGAUAAAGCACAGUAUGUAUACUGUGUUGAAGGUACUGUAAGAAUAAGGAUCGGCUAACUCCGUGCCAGCAGCCGCAGUAA
rnacentral:rRNA from 1 species